GUAUAAAAGGCCAGAACAGAACACUGCAGUCGGCAUUCGACAUCAGCAACCUACUGAGCAGCAGCUAGAAAUUGACAGCAAAAAUCACCCACGGUCAAUUCUAAACCCAGUAAAGCUUGAGUGUGAAGAAUCCUGUACUGUGUUUUACUGACACGCUGGGACUCAAUGAUGGUAGACGAUGAGUUGAGGCAGUCAAUAGUUCGGAGGUGGUUAAACGGUGGUAACACACAAACACGUACACACUCAGACACUUAAACACACAAACACAUGCUCACUCUCAAAGACAC